GGGUUGUGAGGUUAAGCGACUAAGCGUACACGGUGGAUGCCCUGGCAGUCAGAGGCGAUGAAGGACGUGCUAAUCUGCGAUAAGCGUCGGUGAGGUGAUAUGAACCGUUAUAACCGGCGAUUUCCGAAUGGGGAAACCCAGUGUGAUUCGUCACACUAUCAUUAACUGAAUCCAUAGGUUAAUGAGGCGAACCGGGGGAACUGAAACAUCUAAGUACCCCGAGGAAAAGAAAUCAACCGAGAUUCCCCCAGUAGCGGCGAGCGAACGGGGAGGAGCCCAGAGCCUGAAUCAGUGUGUGUGUUAGUGGAAGCGUCUGGAAAGGCGCGCGAUACAGGGUGACAGCCCCGUACACAAAAAUGCACAUAUUGUGAGCUCGAUGAGUAGGGCGGGACACGUGGUAUCCUGUCUGAAUAUGGGGGGACCAUCCUCCAAGGCUAAAUACUCCUGACUGACCGAUAGUGAACCAGUACCGUGAGGGAAAGGCGAAAAGAACCCCGGCGAGGGGAGUGAAAAAGAACCUGAAACCGUGUACGUACAAGCAGUGGGAGCCUCUUAAUGGGGUGACUGCGUACCUUUUGUAUAAUGGGUCAGCGACUUAUAUUCUGUAGCAAGGUUAACCGAAUAGGGGAGCCGAAGGGAAACCGAGUCUUAACUGGGCGUUAAGUUGCAGGGUAUAGACCCGAAACCCGGUGAUCUAGCCAUGGGCAGGUUGAAGGUUGGGUAACACUAACUGGAGGACCGAACCGACUAAUGUUGAAAAAUUAGCGGAUGACUUGUGGCUGGGGGUGAAAGGCCAAUCAAACCGGGAGAUAGCUGGUUCUCCCCGAAAGCUAUUUAGGUAGCGCCUCGUGAAUUCAUCUCCGGGGGUAGAGCACUGUUUCGGCAAGGGGGUCAUCCCGACUUACCAACCCGAUGCAAACUGCGAAUACCGGAGAAUGUUAUCACGGGAGACACACGGCGGUGCUAACGUCCGUCGUGAAGAGGGAAACAACCCAGACCGCCAGCUAAGGUCCCAAAGUCAUGGUUAAGUGGGAAACGAUGUGGGAAGGCCCAGACAGCCAGGAUGUUGGCUUAGAAGCAGCCAUCAUUUAAAGAAAGCGUAAUAGCUCACUGGUCGAGUCGGCCUGCGCGGAAGAUGUAACGGGGCUAAACCAUGCACCGAAGCUGCGGCAGCGACACUAUGUGUUGUUGGGUAGGGGAGCGUUCUGUAAGCCUGUGAAGGUGGCCUGUGAGGGUUGCUGGAGGUAUCAGAAGUGCGAAUGCUGACAUAAGUAACGAUAAAGCGGGUGAAAAGCCCGCUCGCCGGAAGACCAAGGGUUCCUGUCCAACGUUAAUCGGGGCAGGGUGAGUCGACCCCUAAGGCGAGGCCGAAAGGCGUAGUCGAUGGGAAACAGGUUAAUAUUCCUGUACUUGGUGUUACUGCGAAGGGGGGACGGAGAAGGCUAUGUUGGCCGGGCGACGGUUGUCCCGGUUUAAGCGUGUAGGCUGGUUUUCCAGGCAAAUCCGGAAAAUCAAGGCUGAGGCGUGAUGACGAGGCACUACGGUGCUGAAGCGACAAAUGCCCUGCUUCCAGGAAAAGCCUCUAAGCAUCAGGUAACAUCAAAUCGUACCCCAAACCGACACAGGUGGUCAGGUAGAGAAUACCAAGGCGCUUGAGAGAACUCGGGUGAAGGAACUAGGCAAAAUGGUGCCGUAACUUCGGGAGAAGGCACGCUGAUAUGUAGGUGAAGCGACUUGCUCGUGGAGCUGAAAUCAGUCGAAGAUACCAGCUGGCUGCAACUGUUUAUUAAAAACACAGCACUGUGCAAACACGAAAGUGGACGUAUACGGUGUGACGCCUGCCCGGUGCCGGAAGGUUAAUUGAUGGGGUUAGCGGUAACGCGAAGCUCUUGAUCGAAGCCCCGGUAAACGGCGGCCGUAACUAUAACGGUCCUAAGGUAGCGAAAUUCCUUGUCGGGUAAGUUCCGACCUGCACGAAUGGCGUAAUGAUGGCCAGGCUGUCUCCACCCGAGACUCAGUGAAAUUGAACUCGCUGUGAAGAUGCAGUGUACCCGCGGCAAGACGGAAAGACCCCGUGAACCUUUACUAUAGCUUGACACUGAACAUUGAGCCUUGAUGUGUAGGAUAGGUGGGAGGCUUUGAAGUGUGGACGCCAGUCUGCAUGGAGCCGACCUUGAAAUACCACCCUUUAAUGUUUGAUGUUCUAACGUGGGCCCCUUACCGGGGUUGCGGACAGUGUCUGGUGGGUAGUUUGACUGGGGCGGUCUCCUCCUAAAGAGUAACGGAGGAGCACGAAGGUUGGCUAAUCCUGGUCGGACAUCAGGAGGUUAGUGCAAUGGCAUAAGCCAGCUUGACUGCGAGCGUGACGGCGCGAGCAGGUGCGAAAGCAGGUCAUAGUGAUCCGGUGGUUCUGAAUGGAAGGGCCAUCGCUCAACGGAUAAAAGGUACUCCGGGGAUAACAGGCUGAUACCGCCCAAGAGUUCAUAUCGACGGCGGUGUUUGGCACCUCGAUGUCGGCUCAUCACAUCCUGGGGCUGAAGUAGGUCCCAAGGGUAUGGCUGUUCGCCAUUUAAAGUGGUACGCGAGCUGGGUUUAGAACGUCGUGAGACAGUUCGGUCCCUAUCUGCCGUGGGCGCUGGAGAACUGAGGGGGGCUGCUCCUAGUACGAGAGGACCGGAGUGGACGCAUCACUGGUGUUCGGGUUGUCAUGCCAAUGGCACUGCCCGGUAGCUAAAUGCGGAAGAGAUAAGUGCUGAAAGCAUCUAAGCACGAAACUUGCCCGAGAUGAGUUCUCCCUGACUCCUUGAGAGUCCUGAAGGAACGUUGAAGACGACGACGUUGAUAGGCCGGGUGUGUAAGCGCAGCGAUGCGUUGAGCUAACCGGUACUAAUGAACCGUGAGGCUUAACCUUACAACGCCGAAG
rnacentral:rRNA from 1 species